UGCCAGCCGCCGCGGUAAUACGAAGGGGGCUAGCGUUGUUCGGAAUUACUGGGCGUAAAGCGCACGUAGGCGGACUUUUAAGUCAGAUGUGAAAUCCCGGGGCUCAACCUCGGAACUGCAUUUGAAACUGGAAGUCUGGAGUUCAGGAGAGGUUAGCGGAAUACCGAGUGUAGAGGUGAAAUUCGUAGAUAUUCGGUGGAACACCAGUGGCGAAGGCGGCUUUCUGGUCCGUUACUGACGCUGAGGCGCGAAAGCGUGGGGAGCAAACAGGAUUAGAUA
rnacentral:rRNA from 1 species